rnacentral:rRNA from 1 species
GAUGAACGCUGGCGGCGUGCCUAAUACAUGCAAGUCGAGCGAACAGACGAGGAGCUUGCUCCUCUGACGUUAGCGGCGGACGGGUGAGUAACACGUGGAUAACCUACCUAUAAGACUGGGAUAACUUCGGGAAACCGGAGCUAAUACCGGAUAAUAUAUUGAACCGCAUGGUUCAAUAGUGAAAGACGGUUUUGCUGUCACUUAUAGAUGGAUCCGCGCCGCAUUAGCUAGUUGGUAAGGUAACGGCUUACCAAGGCAACGAUGCGUAGCCGACCUGAGAGGGUGAUCGGCCACACUGGAACUGAGACACGGUCCAGACUCCUACGGGAGGCAGCAGUAGGGAAUCUUCCGCAAUGGGCGAAAGCCUGACGGAGCAACGCCGCGUGAGUGAUGAAGGUCUUCGGAUCGUAAAACUCUGUUAUUAGGGAAGAACAAAUGUGUAAGUAACUAUGCACGUCUUGACGGUACCUAAUCAGAAAGCCACGGCUAGCUACGUG